GAUGAACGCUGGCGGCGUGCUUAACACAUGCAAGUCGAACGAGAAAUGGAGACGGAAACCUUCGGGCGGAAGGCUUCAUUUCGAGUGGCGGACGGGUGAGUAACGCGUGGGUAUCCUGCCUCAUACAGGGGGAUAACAGUUGGAAACGACUGUUAAUACCGCAUAAGACCACAGCACCGCAUGGUGCGGGGGUAAAAACUCCGGUGGCAUGAGAUGGACCCGCGUUCGAUUAGCCAGUUGGCGGGGUAACGGCCCACCAAAGCGACGAUCGAUAGCCGAUCUGAGAGGAGGACCGGCCACAUUGGGACUGAGACACGGCCCAAACUCCGACGGGAGGCAGCAGUAGAGAAUAUUGCACAAUGGGGGAAACCCUGAUGCAGCGACGCCGCGUGAGUGAAGAAGUACUUCGGUAUGUAAAGCUCUAUCAGCAGGGAAGAAAAUGACGGUACCUGAGUAAGAAGCCCCGGCUAACUACGUG
rnacentral:rRNA from 1 species